rnacentral:rRNA from 1 species
UACGAAGGGGGCUAGCGUUGCUCGGAAUCACUGGGCGUAAAGCGCACGUAGGCGGCUUUCUAAGUCAGGGGUGAAAUCCUGGAGCUCAACUCCAGAACUGCCUUUGAUACUGGAAAGCUUGAGUUCGGGAGAGGUGAGUGGAACUGCGAGUGUAGAGGUGAAAUUCGUAGAUAUUCGCAAGAACACCAGUGGCGAAGGCGGCUCACUGGCCCGAUACUGACGCUGAGGUGCGAAAGCGUGGGGAGCAGACAGG